UUUAUGGAGAGUUUGAUCCUGGCUCAGGAUGAACGCUGGCGGCGUGCCUAAUACAUGCAAGUCGAGCGAACGGACGAGAAGCUUGCUUCUCUGAUGUUAGCGGCGGACGGGUGAGUAACACGUGGAUAACCUACCUAUAAGACUGGGAUAACUUCGGGAAACCGGAGCUAAUACCGGAUAAUAUUUUGAACCGCAUGGUUCAAAAGUAAAAGACGGUCUUGCUGUCACUUAUAGAUGGAUCCGCGCUGCAUUAGCUAGUUGGUAAGGUAACGGCUUACCAAGGCAACGAUGCAUAGCCGACCUGAGAGGGUGAUCGGCCACACUGGAACUGAGACACGGUCCAGACUCCUACGGGAGGCAGCAGUAGGGAAUCUUCCGCAAUGGGCGAAAGCCUGACGGAGCAACGCCGCGUGAGUGAUGAAGGUCUUCGGAUCGUAAAACUCUGUUAUUAGGGAAGAACAUAUGUGUAAGUAACUGUGCACAUCUUGACGGUACCUAAUCAGAAAGCCACGGCUAACUACGUGCCAGCAGCCGCGGUAAUACGUAGGUGGCAAGCGUUAUCCGGAAUUAUUGGGCGUA
rnacentral:rRNA from 1 species